UGAGUGUUAUACACCUAUAACAAAUAACUAUAAUCCAUAGAAAAGCAAACAGGCUUAAGCAGGGUAGAGGCAGUACAGUAACGUUAUGGUUAGCACAAUGCUUUACAGUACAGGCGACCCCGGUUCAAUUCCUGCCACUGCCUAUAAGGAGUUUGUACAUUCUCCCUGUGACUGUGUGGGUUCCCUGGUUUUCUCCCACAGUCCAAAGACAUCCCUGGUAAUUGGUCAUUGUAUAUUGUCCCGUGAUUAGUCCAGGAUUAAGUCAGGGGAUUGCCUGGCAUCAUGGCUCGAAGGCCCUAUUCUAUGCUAUAGCUCAGUAAAUAAAUAAAUGAGCCCUAUGCAUUGUUUCAGCUCUGCCUCCAUGUGUAGUGGUUGAAGUAGCCUAGACUGUGGUCUUUGCAUUGACUGCACUAAGUUUUGGAACACCCCUCAGACCUUGCUCAGCCCGUGGCAUUCUGUGCACACAUCUCACAGUGCAGGAAGACCAACAAGUUUCAGGCAGAUCAAAGGGCAUCUUUAACCAAGUUGAUGACCUCUGAACUGCACUAGAUAUCUGUCUCAGAGUGCCUGCAGGUCAGUGAGAUCUCCUAUUCACACCUGCUGGAUCUGGACUCUGGAAUCUGUCUCCAAAAUCUGCAAAGAGGUGACUGCCUGGCUCUUCCCACCCACGGCCAUUUCAAGUGUGGUGGACGGUACAUUGGGGGAUACAACUCUUCCACAAAGCACCGGUUAUGCAGCAAUAUCUACUUGACUAUGGCGUUAUGUAGUUACAGGGCCAGGCCUACCUUUCCCAACACCAGGGACGGGUAAAACCUCACCCCAUGGUGAUCCUUGGUGCCCAUGUACUUGAGGCCACACACUGCCAGAUACAGAAACACCCAGAGGUGCUCAUCAGGAUGAGAGCGAAGUUGGGUCCAUUUUUGCUCCCAUCCUCUGCAUCAUGACUCAUUAGUACUGCUUCAUCUUGGAGAUGGAGGAGAUGCCCAGUGAUUCCCGAGGCAAAGGAGCAAGUACAGACUGCACCCAUGUCAAGUACAACAGCCCUGAGAGCACAUCACUCUUGAUGACCAAACUCUUCCCAGUUAUUGACAGAGAAUACCAUUUCCACAGGCCCAAUCUUUGUUUUACCUUCCCAAUCCAUUCCAGCCAAUUCUUGUUCUACACAUUAGCCCCACUGAACCAGAGCCCCAGAAACUUCAGGAAGUCAGACCAGAUGGCGAAGGGGAAGUUGGAUUGAUCGGGCCAGUUGGCGAAGAACAUGGUUCUUCCUGCAGUUGGCUCUGGCCCCCGAUUGUAAACCCGUACAUCAUCCAUGUAGAAGAAAGUUUUAACUUGUGUGCUUCCUCUGCCUGGCAAUAUCACCCCUCGUAGACUUAAUUUGGUUGAAUUUAAUAUUUCCAGCUGCCACCUGAGAUUACAAACACACAUUGCCAGAAUUGUGACAGGCAAAACAAUGUAGUUCUUCAAACCUAUAGCUCAGAGUUCCACCAGUAUGGUUUCCAUCCACUGCCUCCAUUUUGCUUACACCAUCUAAAAAGAGAUGUAUUACCGUUUACAAGUUUCAACAGUCUCCCCUGGGCAACACCAGCUUCAGUCACCAACCCUGUAGUGGAUAUUACUUUUUGAUCUCUCCAACCCUCUUUCUUCUGGGCAUGUUUUUAAAAAAAGUCUGUGUUCAAAAAUGUUCAAGUUCUGAAGAAAGCUGAACAACCUGAAAUAGUAGCACUGUUUUUCUCUCCACAGAUGCUAUCCUUGGUAUUUCUAGCAUCUUCUGUUUUUAUUUCAGAUUUCCAGAAUCUGCAGGGUUUUUAUUUUGCUUGUCUAUCUCCAAAGAUGUUUGCUGACCUGUUUAAUAUCUCCAUUUUCUGAGUUAAACGGAAAUCCUGCCAAUGGUUGCUGGUUUUUAUUUCCUGGAUCCACUUUGGCGGACGCAAAUGAGGAUUCUGGCAGAGGAUUUGGAAAGUCUGAAAGAGCAGCCCAAACAGGCAACACCUCCUUUUUGUGAGGGUGUAGGGAGAACACUUUUGGAAAACAUUUUAAAUGCAGCAAAAUGCUGGUAAUCUGUUGUCUAACCAUUCAGAAAUCCCAGUGGUUUGGCAACUGGCUCACCAGGUGAUUGUAGUAAUUUUUACUUACGUGGGAGUGUUCAUUUGCUCCCUCCCACUGAGGCCUAAUCCUGUGUUCCCUUGCCCUUAUGGGACCCCAGUUCCUAUGCAUCCUGACCACCUACUGUGCUCCCUUUGAAUUUACCUGGUUCUGUUGGCAGCAUUCCUUUUUAUCUUUUCUGGUUCAUUUCCUCUGCUCUCUUUCAACUUACUGAGUUCAAAGUGAAUAAAAAUGUAUUAGGAAAUCUGAUAAUCUGGCACCACUUGCCCUAAUCGUGCAGGGUUGUUGUUAAGUGCCGUCGAGCUGUCGUCAACGCAUGGCGACCCUAUGGAGAGUUGCCAUAAAUGAGUUUCGAUCCUCGUGAAGGCAGUUCUUUGUUGAUAACGUUGCAUUCAUAGCUGUCCUUGUUGUGUACGUUCAUCCAAUUGGUGGCCUCCCUCUCGUGCAUUGUCCUUUCACCUUGUAGAGCAUGAUGUCCUUUUCCAGAGAGCUGUUUCUUCACAUGAUGUGCCCAACAGGCGGAUUCUUGUCAUUUGAGCCUCCAGAGAGAGACUUGGUUUGGUCUCAUUGAGAACUGAUUUGUCUGCUCUGUGAGAGGUCCACAAGGUGCAUAGUCUUUUUCUCCAGUACCACAGUUUAAAGGUUUCCUAUCCUUCUUCUCUACUGUCCAGCUUUUGCAUCCGUAUAAUGUCGAUGAGAACGCCAUCAUCUGCACCAGUCCAAUCUUAGUAUGUAGAGAUAGAUUCCUGUUCCAGAGGAUCUUCUCCAAAUUCUCCAUGUGCAAGAUAAAGGUUCCUUUUAAAUUUUGUGGGAAUCAGUCGCUGUUUAGGUGCAGUGGCUGCAUUUUGCAACCAGGCGGCACUGCGGGGAGAUACUUCCCAGCCUGCAGAGUUCCUCCAGCAUUUUGUGUGUGUUGCUCAGAUUUGGGUACAUUUCCGGGUACAGACGCCGGCGGCGCUGCGGCGGGUGCAGUUGCGGGGUGUGGCCACGGGCGGCGCUGCGGCGGGUGCAGUUGCGGGGUGUGGCCACGGGCGGCGCUGCGGCGGGCUGCGCGCGGAGCCGUGGAGACGAGCCGGCGGGGUGGAGUGAGCGCCGGAGCCGGGAAUGGAGAAAGCGCAGCGUUGGGGAUCGAAUUGAGAGACAGGGCCGGGCGACGGUGGGAGCGAACGAGUGCCGGCGGCAGUGGCACUAACGAGUGGACGGAGGGCCGCCGGUAGUCAGGACAGGGGAUGAGUGCGGAGCCGUGAGAUGUGUAAGGAUGGUGUGUAGAGCUGAGACUAUUGUGUCAUCUGUCGAUCGAGGUGAAUUGUCUCGAGAACCUACUAUGAGCCGUGCAGGAUGGAGGAAGCGUGCCAGUGAAGAUGAUGGCUGGAGAGAUUGGAGUGGUUACAUGGCAGCAAAGAUUGACAAGCUGGAAAGGCAAUUCAAAUCAGAUUCUUCACUUCAACAACAAAAUGAAGGGACAGCGUCUUGCAUUUUCAAAGGUGUUGCAAUUUAUGUCAAUGGUUACACAGAGCCAACAGCUGAUGAGCUGAGAAGGCUUAUGAUGCUGCAUGGAGGCCAGUAUCAUAUGUACUACUCGAGGUCUAAAACUACACACAUUAUUGCCACUAACUUGCCAAAUUCAAAGAUAAAAGAACUAAAGGAAGAAAAAGUUGUUCGACCUAAUUGGAUUACAGACAGCAUAAAAGCUGGGUGCCUCCUUUCUUACAUUCCUUAUCAGCUCUAUGCCAAGCAUUCAAGUGUCCAGAAAGAAUUGAACUUCACUGUGAACAAACCUGAAGAACCAGUACCAGGCCCCAGCAGUAUUUACAAAUUUAAUAGAAAUGUAAGAAGUAUAACCAACAACCAAGAGAAUGCAAAACACAAGGGAAAGGGGAACCAGACCAACAGCGGAAUAAAUGGAUGGGACAAGAACAAUGAAGAUUUUGAAGUAAUGGAAUUGGAGCCUGCUUAUCCCAGUCUAAAUCACAAUGGAGUUCAUAGCUGUAGAGACCAUUUUUCUGUUUAUAACACCAGUGAGCCCAAUUCUAAUAGUGCCUUAAAAACACAAGAUUAUUUAAAACCUUGCCGCGAAACGAUCUGGGAAAAAGAACCUGGAACCCUUGAAGCAUCGGAAGAGGAAAACGAUGACUGUGAAACAGAUUUCAAAAACUGUGAAGGGCAAUUAGCAGAAGGUAGUACUUUGUUGUCUAACUGCACAAGGACUCCUUCAAAUUCUUCAUUAAAUGAAUGCUUUAAAAUAAAUGGGGCUAACCAAUCUGCAAUUCAGGAGAUUCCAAGAAUGAAACGCACUUCGGAGCCUUCGCCUACUAAAGGAUCUUCCCACUGGUCAACUAAACCUGCAGAUGCAAAUUUUAUAUCUGAGUUUUAUGCCCAUUCAAGACUGCAUCACAUUGCAAUGUGGAAAUGUGAGUUUACAGAAUAUGUAAACAGACUUCAAAAACAAAAUAAUGGUGUCUACCCAGGCAGAGAGAAACUAAAAAAAAUGAAUAUGGAAAAAUUUCAGAGGAAUACUAGAGACACGAACCAUUUGGGCACACCAGACCUACCAAGACAUAAGAACUGUAUAAUGCAUAUUGAUAUGGACUGUUUCUUUGUAUCAGUGGGAAUUCGUGAUCACCCAGAACUGAAGGGAAAGCCAGUAGCUGUUACCCACAACAGAGGUCAUGGCCAUGUAUCUGUCCGACCUAAUGCUAAUCCACAAUUUGAAAUGCAAUACUACCAGAAGAAGAUGGUAAAUGACAAGAUGGAGAAAAAAGUGCCUGACAAAGUGGAUGGCAACACCUGGGAGAAUCCGACACCUGCCUCUGUGAAUGGCAUCAACAUGGAUCUGAUGGCCUUAUCAAUGGCAGAAAUUGCAUCGUGCAGUUAUGAAGCUAGACAGACUGGUAUUAAGAAUGGCAUGUUUUUUGGACAAGCAAAGAAGUUGUGCCCUGAUCUUCAAGCCGUCAGCUACAACUUCAAAGCUUACAAAGAAGUAGCAUCAAUUAUGUAUGAAACGCUGGCAAGCUAUACUUAUGAUAUUGAAGCUGUCAGCUGCGAUGAAGCUCUUGUAGACAUAACAGCAAUUUGUACAGAAACUGGUUUGACACCUGAUGAGAUAGCAACUGUUAUUCGCUCUGAGAUUAAGGAAAAAACACAAUGUACUGCAUCAGUUGGAAUGGGAUCGAACAUUCUGCUGGCCAGAAUGGCCACUCGUAAGGCCAAGCCGGAUGGACAAUAUUAUCUAAAACCAGAGGAAGUGGAUGAUUUUAUCAAAGAUCAACUUGUAAGCAGUCUACCAGGAGUUGGAAGGGCACUAGAAUACAAAAUGGCAUCAUUUGGUGUUAAAACAUGUGGAGAACUGCAGCAGAUUUUGAUGCCAAGACUUCAAAAGGAAUUUGGGCCAAAAACAGGCCAAAUGCUUUACAGAUUCUGCCGAGGUCUAGAUGAUAGACCAGUCCGAACGGAGAAAGAGCGAAAAUCUGUAUCUGCAGAAAUUAAUUAUGGAAUUCGGUUUAGUCAGAUAAAAGAGGCAGAGCUAUUUCUUCUCAGUCUUGUGGGAGAAAUACAACGGCGACUGGAAAUGUCUGGAAUGCAAGGAAAGCGUCUAACUCUUAAAGUGAUGGUGAGAAAACCUGGUGCACCUAUAGAACCAGCUAAAUUUGGUGGGCACGGAGUCUGUGACAACAUUACUAGAAGUGUGACUUUAGAUCAUGCAACUUGCAGUGCAAAAAUAAUUAGCAGAGAAGUACUGAACAUGUUCCAUAUGAUGAAGCUGAAUGUGACAGAUAUGAGAGGGGUUGGAAUUCAGAUGAAUCAGUUAAUCCCGGAUACCAAAGCUUCACUUAAUUCCUUCUCUUCAUUUAUACGAAGUAACUCUGCUGGUGGGUUAUCGUGUCCAAAGGCAGAUCUGUUUCAGAAAUCAAGAUCAAAGAAAGCUGUGGAACCCAGGCUUUCAGAAGACUCUGAUUCCUCGAGAAAAAAGACAUCAACAAGUGGACACUCUCCAUUGCUUGCAUCUAGUACAAAUAUCAGUAAAUCAGAAACUUUAUUAAAAUCUGAUGGAAUGCAUACCUCUGAGAACACACCUAUCCGUAGGAAUAUAGCUGAUGUUAAUAUUGAAGUGCCAUCUCCUUCUCAGAUAGAUCCUACCGUUUUGGCAGCACUUCCUCCAGAUAUAAGAGAGCAGGUGGAGCAGGCGUUCUCUGCUCGACAGCAGCCCGGUUUUACUGACAUCCGUGUCAAAGAGUCAGUGAGAGGCAUUGCCACUGGACAUGUGCCUGCAUCAAUGGGGACACUGAUUCUUGAGUUACCAGGAGCUCAGGAAACAAGCAAUGCUGCUGGAAUGAUAGUAGCCCUCCCAGCUUUUUCACAGGUUGAUCCUGAGGUUUUCGCUGCUCUUCCCCUUGAUGUACAAGAAGAACUAAAAACUGCUUAUGAUCAAAAGCAUCGACAAGGCCUGAAAAGUCAGUUACUACAGUUGAAGAAUCCUCUUCCUGAAAAAUCAAAGAAACGGUUUAAAAAGAAGAAUCAUACCAGUCCUAUUAAAGCUCUUAGUCCUCUUAAAAAUAAGUUAAUGGUCAGUCCACUUAAAGUACUGCCUGAAUUGAUUCGACAUGAACACCAAGGCAAAGAAAAAAAUCAGAGUGAUCCUGUUGCUUCCACAUCUGAUCAUCAGGCUAUCGCAUCCCCACAGCAUGAUAUCUGUGCUGACUCAGUGUACCUGAGAGCUAACCUUGCCGGAGCCUAUCAACUAAAAGAUGUAAAAUCACUUCUAAAAGAAUGGGUUACAACAAUUGGAGAACCGGUGGAAGAGGAUAUUUUGCAGGUGGUUAAGUAUUGUACUGACCUCAUUGAAGAAAAAGAUCUAGAAAAGUUGGACCUCGUCAUUAAGUACAUGAAAAGGUAGUGCCUUCAAACUUACUCUUGUCGUACGCCAUUAAUCUUCAAUGGGCUUGCAUUUACUGAAAGCUUGUGCCAUAGUAAUGGUGCAUCUACAGCGUACACCAUUAUUAUCAUUUUGCAGAAAUUCCAGGAACUUGUGCGCUAAUCCAACAAUCUGCUGACUCCCUGUGGAACAUGGCUUUUGAUUUCAUUCUUGACAAUGUUCAGGUUGUAAUGCAACAAAUCUAUGGAAGCAUGUUAAAAUUUACAUGAAAAGACACUGCUGGUGAUAUUUUUAAAAACUGUAAAACACUGGAGCCUGGAGCUCUCAUCUUGUGCCAUAAAACCUUUGUGAAGCUCUUAAAAUUUGCAUGGUAGAAACGCAUUGUGUUUUUAUGAAACAUUUCUGAUAAACAACAUUUUGUAGUUUUUUUCCCCCUUGGCAAAUAUUGUGUGCCAAAUUCUUGUUGAAGUUGCAUGUAAAUAACUGUGUUGUAUAAAGUAUGUAUGUAGAAUACAUUGUGUUUACAGAAUUGUUGUUUAUAAGUUUGUUUUUUAGUGGUUUACUUCUAUUUAAUAAAAAAGUUUGUUGUGAAUUCAUAA